AACAUCAUCACCAUUCGCUUAUGCGGAAGUUAUAACCUUUCGAAAAGAAUCUGUGGAAACCGACCAACAACUAAGGUUUCAACUUAUACUAGUUUUCAAGAUAGUACUAGUUUCGAAUUUAUAAAACUACUGUUCUACUAAUGUUCGAGUACUCACCGUACUUAAUUAAUCAGGAGCAGAUUAAUUGGAGAUCUUCAUAAGUGUUUACGUCAUCGCUAGCGUGGUAACCUGGUGAACCUUGGUGGAGACCUAAAAAAAAA